AUUGAACGCUGGCGGCAGGCCUAACACAUGCAAGUCGAACGGUAACAGGGAUCAGCUUGCUGAUUCGCUGACGAGUGGCGGACGGGUGAGUAAUGUCUGGGAAACUGCCUGAUGGAGGGGGAUAACUACUGGAAACGGUAGCUAAUACCGCAUAACGUCGCAAGACCAAAGAGGGGGACCUUCGGGCCUCUUGCCAUCGGAUGUGCCCAGAUGGGAUUAGCUAGUAGGUGGGGUAACGGCUCACCUAGGCGACGAUCCCUAGCUGGUCUGAGAGGAUGACCAGCCACACUGGAACUGAGACACGGUCCAGACUCCUACGGGAGGCAGCAGUGGGGAAUAUUGCACAAUGGGCGCAAGCCUGAUGCAGCCAUGCCGCGUGUAUGAAGAAGGCCUUCGGGUCGUAAAGUACUUUCAGCGGGGAGGAAGGGAGUAAAGUUAAUACCUUUGCUCAUUGACGUUACCCGCAGAAGAAGCACCGGCUAACUCCGUG
rnacentral:rRNA from 1 species